UACGGAGGGUGCAAGCGUUAAUCGGAAUUACUGGGCGUAAAGCGUGCGCAGGCGGUUUACUAAGACAGGUGUGAAAUCCCCGGGCUUAACCUGGGAAUGGCGCUUGUGACUGGUAGCUAGAGUACGCCAGAGGGGGGUGGAAUUCCACGUGUAGCAGUGAAAUGCGUAGAGAUGUGGAGGAACACCGAUGGCGAAGGCAGCCCCCUGGGAUGAUACUGACGCUCAGGCACGAAAGCGUGGGGAGCAAACAGG
rnacentral:rRNA from 1 species